rnacentral:rRNA from 1 species
CCUACGGGAGGCAGCAGUGGGGAAUAUUGGACAAUGGGCGAAAGCCUGAUCCAGCCAUGCCGCGUGUGUGAAGAAGGUCUUCGGAUUGUAAAGCACUUUAAGUUGGGAGGAAGGGUAGUAACCUAAUACGUUGCUGCUUUGACGUUACCGA